UACGGGGGGUGCGAGCGUUGUCCGGAAUCACUGGGCGUAAAGGGCGCGUAGGUGGCCUGAUAAGGGUGUGGUGAAAGUCCGGGGCUCAACCCCGGAUCUGCCGUGCCGACUGUCAGGCUAGAGUACUGUAGGGGCAGGCGGAAUUCCGGGUGUAGCGGUGGAAUGCGUAGAGAUCCGGAGGAAGACCGGUGGCGAAGGUGGCCUGCUGGGCAGUUACUGACACUGAGGCGCGACAGCGUGGGGAGCAAACAGG
rnacentral:rRNA from 1 species